CCCUCCCCUAAAUCACUCCAAAAAAAACAAUCCCCAAUUCUACACAAGUGUUUCUACACUAACAAAGCAACAGCUCCUUAACGAAUUCCCAACUUUACACGAGCUCGUCUCUCGAGGUUAAAUGUUAUUACUUGGUAAGAUUCCGGACCUCGCCAAGUGUUUUGAAAACCCGCAACGCUCGCAAAGGUGCAUAGUGAGAAUAAUAAGUGAAGAGACAGACUUGUCCAAAACGCCCACCACGAAGGUGCAAGUGAGAGAAGAGUAAGUCAAGAGAUAGACUUGUCCAAAAAGAAACGGAAGAGAAAGCUUGGGGAGACGCUCACGAAGGUGCAUAGUGAGAAGAGUAAGUCAAGAGAUAGACUUGUUCAAAAAGAAACAGAAGAGAAUGCUUGGGGUUACACUCACGAAGGUGCAUAGUGAGAAGAGUAAGUCAAGAGACAGACUUGUUCAAAAAGAAACGAAAGAGAAUGCUUGGGGAGAUAGAAGUGUGAGAUAGUUCUCAAGCUAAGAAAGUUGUAAAAGCUAAGAACUAGCAAGUAAUCGUCCAGGAUUCCUCCACCAGGACUUGAAAUCGUCGAGGGAAAAAAAUCGGUUCCGAGGAAUCGUCGAUCCGGACUUGGAAUCGUCGAGAAAAGUUUACCGGGUCCGAGGAUUUGUCGACCAGGAGUGGAAAUCGUCGAGAAAAAUCUAUCGGGUCCGAGGAAUCGUCGACCAGGACGAGGAAUCGUCGACCGGGUCCGAGGAUUUGUCGACCAGGGGUUGAAAUCGUCGACCAGGUCCGAGACUUCAUCGACCGGGUCCGAGGAUUCGUCGAC
rnacentral:misc_RNA from 1 species